rnacentral:lncRNA from 1 species
GACUUCUGAAUGCGGACUGGAGGAGAUGAGGUUGGAGGGCAGGGAGGAUAGUGAGAGAGGGAGCAGGGAGACCAGUUAAGGGCCACUGAAGUAGUCAAGGUGUCAGACAAGAGCUUUGAGACAAGAGGACUGUCUUAGAGAUAGAUUGCAUGAGAGCCUUGAGGUAAGGGAGGUGUCCGAGCUGACCUCAGCCUUCUGGCUUGUCCACUGGUUGGAUGGGGUCACCAUUUAAUUGUAAUGGGGGAUUCUGGUUGCAGAGAACUGAGUGUUGGGGGGCCAUGAAUGAGCUCCAUUUAAGAUCUGCUCAGCUUGAGGUCCCUGGGAGACAACCACAGGAGUUGUUUAGGAGACACCGGGCUACUUCAGCCUGGAGCUCCAGGAAGAGGUCUGCAUUGGUCGUUGGAACAAUAGGACCAGGACAUGGCAGGCUGCAGGACCCCAGUUGCACCAAACUGCCAUCCCCUCCUGCCUGGUUUCCCUUCUUCAUGAACGGAUCAAUGGGCCAUAGGCAGGUUGGGAUUGGGAUGAAUGUCUUCCACAGGAUGGGAACUACCUCCAGCUGAUCAGUUAACAGUUCAAUUGGGGACUUUGAGUAAAGUAGAUGACCCUCUAUUAGGUGGUUGGGCCUCAUCCAAUCAGUUGACAGCCUACAGAGAACAAAGACUGAUCUCCCCCCAACAAGAAGGAAU